rnacentral:rRNA from 1 species
GAUGAACGCUGGCGGCGUGCCUAAUACAUGCAAGUCGAGCGAACGGACGAGAAGCUUGCUUCUCUUAUGUUAGCGGCGGACGGGUGAGUAACACGUGGAUAACCUACCUAUAAGACUGGGAUAACUUCGGGAAACCGGAGCUAAUACCGGAUAAUAUUUUGAACCGCAUGGUUCAAAAGUGAAAGACGGACUUGCUGUCACUUCUAGAUGGAUCCGCGCUGCAUUAGCUAGUUGGUAAGGUAACGGCUUACCAAGGCAACGUUGCAUAGCCGACCUGAGAGGGUGAUCGGCCACACUGGAACUGAGACACGGUCCAGACUCCUACGGGAGGCAGCAGUGGGGAAUCUUCCGAAAUGGGCGAAAGCCUGACGGAGCAACGCCGCGUGAGUGAGGAAGGUCUUCGUAUCGUAAAACUCUGUUAUUAGGGAAGAACAUAUGUGUAAGUAACUGUGCACAUCUUGACGGUACCUAAUCAGAAAGCCACGGCUAACUACGUG